UACGUAGGGGGCAAGCGUUGUCCGGAAUCAUUGGGCGUAAAGAGCGCGUAGGCGGCCCUGUAAGUCCGCUGUGAAAGUCAAGGGCUCAACCCUUGAAUGCCGGUGGAUACUGCAGGGCUAGAGUCCGGAAGAGGCGAGUGGAAUUCCUGGUGUAGCGGUGAAAUGCGCAGAUAUCAGGAGGAACACCGAUGGCGAAGGCAGCUCGCUGGGACGUUACUGACGCUGAGACGCGAAAGCGUGGGGAGCGAACAGG
rnacentral:rRNA from 1 species